UCACAUCAGAGACCAACCCUAACGCCACUGUCUCUGCUGUCUGCUACCGCCGGAAAUCGCCCACGGCGGCGGUAAGUCUCCAAACCACCCCAAAUUUAUACCGGAGCCACCCUCUCAUCUUGAAUCAACAAUUGUUUUUCCUCAAACAUACCUAAAAUUCCUCAAAUCUUCGUUUAAAAAAUGGAAACCUUAGCACCGCCCUUGUGCUCCAGUGGCCGCACCGUCUCUGUUCAAACCUAAAAUCACACCACUGAGCCCCCUUUCCUCCCUUAUCCCAAAACCCGUUUGGCUUCUCUCGAAUCCCUUUCAAAUGUUUCGAAUUUCAUAUCUAAGAAAGCCCUAAUUCCCAAAGAGGUCUCAUGUUUAUUGCUGUUUGAAAAUUUGGGGGAAUUUCGAUUUUAUUCGUUUGUUCUUAUUAAGAACACACGACUAACAUAGUAAGAGGCCAGAAAAUCUAAAGAAUCAGAAGUUUCGGUUCCUUCCUUCAUGCAUUGAGGUCUCCGUAGAUAUCUCUCCU
rnacentral:lncRNA from 1 species